rnacentral:piRNA from 1 species
UUGCAGGAACGUGGGUGGAGCUGGAG